UCCUACGGGUGGCUGCAGUGAGGAAUAUUGCACAAUGGGCGAAAGCCUGAUGCAGCAACGCCGCGUGAGGGACGAAGGCCUUCGGGUCGUAAACCUCUUUUCUGAGGGAAGAGACAGGACGGUACCUCGGGAAUAAGUCUCGGCUAACUACGUGCCAGCAGCCGCGGUAAAACGUAGGAGGCGAGCGUUAUCCGGAUUUACUGGGCGUAAAGCGCACGCAGGCGGCUUCGUGAGUCGGAUGUGAAAGCUCCCGGCUUAACUGGGAGAGGCCAUUCGAUACUGCGGGGCUUGAGGUUGGGAGAGGGGUGCGGAAUUCCCGGUGUAGUGGUGGAAUGCGUAGAUAUCGGGAGGAACACCUGUGGCGAAAGCGGCACCCUGGCCCACACCUGACGCUGAGGUGCGAAAGCGUGGGUAGCAAACAGGAUUAGAUACCCCUGUAGUCG
rnacentral:rRNA from 1 species